rnacentral:rRNA from 1 species
GAUGAACGCUGGCGGCGUGCCUAAUACAUGCGAGUCGAGCGAACAGACGAGGAGCUUGCUCCUCUGACGUUAGCGGCGGACGGGUGAGUAACACGUGGAUAACCUACCUAUAAGACUGGGAUAACUACGGGAAACCGGAGCUAAUACCGGAUAAUAUAUUGAACCGCAUGGUUCAAUAGUGAAAGACGGUUUUGCUGUCACUUAUAGAUGGAUCCGCGCCGCAUUAGCUAGUUGGUAAGGUAACGGCUUACCAAGGCAACGAUGCGUAGCCGACCUGAGAGGGUGAUCGGCCACACUGGAACUGAGACACGGUCCAGACUCCUACGGGAGGCAGCAGUAGGGAAUCUUCCGCAAUGGGCGAAAGCCUGACGGAGCAACGCCGCGUGAGUGAUGAAGGUCUUCGGAUCGUAAAACUCUGUUAUUAGGGAAGAACAAAUGUGUAAGUAACUAUGCACGUCUUGACGGUACCUAAUCAGAAAGCCACGGCUAACUACGUG